UUGACUUAUUUGCUUAAGCAUUUCAAACACAUAAAAACUUACAAAAUAUUUUCUUCACAGAAAUUUUCCGUGAAAUAAACAGAGCCUAAAGAUGAUAAAUAUUUUCUUGACAGAUAUAUAAAUGAUACUAUUUAGUUGUUAUAUUAAUCUAUGAAUCAGAAAUAAAUGGAAUUUGCUUAUGAAGAAACAUAGGGUAAUAAAAUGAGCCAUCCCAGUGCACGAACAUGGUGUCUCCCAAAUGACAAUAUAUUGGAAAUAAGAAUAAUAAUCCCACCACCCCACAUGACCCACUUGCAUGUGAUCUUCAGAUUCAAUGAACUGCCUCUAAUUAUACAAACCUCACAUGCUAAAUUACUUCAAUUUUGAUCCCACCACUACCACCCAUUCCUCUGACACUAAAUUAGUGUAUAUAUAUAUACAUUGAACUUCCUAACAGAAUCUUCUCCUCUUAAGUACUAUAUAUCAGCAGUUUCUUUCUCUGACCAUCUUCAAAUCUCUCUGUCUCUAGCACUCUCAAUAUGGAAAUGAUGGUGCCGAGUUUUACACUGGAGAAAGAACAGCGUCAUCAUCGUUAUCAGUUCUUGAAUGUACUUGAUUAGCAGACCUGUAAUGAAUACAUUGAGAGGGACGAACGAAAGAAAGAAAGAAAGAAAGAAAGAAGAGAUCAGGGGAAACUAAACUUGAAGCAGUUUUUAUCAAUCCAUUUUUCUUUCAGAUCUUUUAAUAUAUAUUAGGAGUAUAUAACAGAUAAUGUUUUUUCAUGUAGUUCUGCAAAAUCUAGGCAUAAUUUAACUGUAAUCAUAUUAGCUUGUUUCUAUAAUCUAUUGCUAACUUAUGAAUCAAUUUCUUGAUUAUAAAGGUUUCUCAAUUUCAGGGGAUUGUUUA